rnacentral:rRNA from 1 species
UACGUAGGGUGCAAGCGUUAAUCGGAAUUACUGGGCGUAAAGCGUGCGCAGGCGGUUUUGUAAGUCUGUCGUGAAAUCCCCGAGCUUAACUUGGGAAUUGCGAUGGAGACUGCAAGGCUGGAGUCUGGCAGAGGGGGGUAGAAUUCCACGUGUAGCAGUGAAACGCGUAGAGAUGUGGAGGAACACCGAUGGCGAAGGCAGCCCCCUGGGUCAAGACUGACGCUCAUGCACGAAAGCGUGGGGAGCAAACAG